ensembl:misc_RNA 7SK 7SK RNA
GGAUGUGAGGGUGAUUGGGCUGUGACAUCUGUCACAGGGUUGAUUCAGCUGAUCUGGCUGGCUAGGCGAGUGUCCCCUUCCUCCCUCAUCGCUCCACGUGUGUCCCUCCCAAAGCUGCACGCUCAGUCAAAGAGGACGACCAUCCCCACUAGAGGAGGACCAGUCUUCAGUCAAGGGUAGACGAGUAGCUGCGCUCCCCUGCUAGAACCUCCAAAGAAGCUCUCAAGAGUCACCCCUUCAUUAUUUAUUGCCUCUGGGCAAACAUUCAAGACAAAUCUAGGCAUAAUCCAAAUAGGGAAAUAUAGUCUCUGCUUU